GGGGCGGUGGUUUAGUGGUAUAAUAUUUCCUUAGCAAGCCGUAGCCAUCAAAAGCUACAUCUCCGCUUGGAAGGGGUCCGGGGUUCGAUUCCCCGCCGCUCCA